CCUACGGGAGGCUGCAGUGAGGAAUAUUGGUCAAUGGACGAGAGUCUGAACCAGCCAAGUAGCGUGAAGGAUGACUGCCCUAUGGGUUGUAAACUUCUUUUAUAUGGGAAUAAAAUGUUCCACGUGUGGGAUUUUGUAUGUACCAUAUGAAUAAGGAUCGGCUAACUCCGUGCCAGCAGCCGCGGUAAUACGGAGGAUCCGAGCGUUAUCCGGAUUUAUUGGGUUUAAAGGGUGCGUAGGUGGAUUGUUAAGUCAGUUGUGAAAGUUUGCGGCUCAACCGUAAAAUUGCAGUUGAAACUGGCAGUCUUGAGUACAGUAGAGGUGGGCGGAAUUCGUGGUGUAGCGGUGAAAUGCUUAGAUAUCACGAAGAACUCCGAUUGCGAAGGCAGUUCACUUGACUGCAACUGACACUGAGGCUCGAAAGUGUGGGUAUCAAACAGGAUUAGAUACCCUUGUAGUC
rnacentral:rRNA from 1 species